UGGCAGGUACAGAGGGAUGCUACCGGGCGACCGGAUGCGGAUCUCGAAAGCCUGUCCCAGUUCGGACUGGAGUCUGCAACCCGACUCCACGAAGUUGGAUUCGCUAGUAAUCGCGCAUCAGCCAUGGCGCGGUGAAUACGUUCCGGGGCCUUGUACACACCGCCCGUCAAGCCAUGGGAGCCGGGGGCGCCUGAAGUCCGGGACCGCGAGGACCGGCCUAGGGCGAAACUGGUAACUGGGGCUAAGUCGUAACAAGGUAAC
rnacentral:rRNA from 1 species